AUGCAGAACCACUGCAUUGCUUUUCCUGCUUCCCAAAAUCACCUCCUGCAGACAAUAUCCUCUUCCUCUUUGGAGGCUGAAACUAUUUGCUACAGUCAUAAUUUCCUUUCAGCUCCACAGAUUACUUUUGAAUAUUUCUCUGUGGGUAUUCAACAGCGAUGCUCUUCUGGCCGUAGAGGAGGUUUCAACAGAGCUGCGAGUUCAGCAGCAAUAAGAUGCUCGGUGAAGAAGCACUGGGGCAGGGGACAAGGCCACAUGCAGAAGGGAAGGGACGUGAAGGCAAACUGCAGGGCCGGCCCCAGCCCUGCCAUCCAUCUCUGCCCCGCUCCAGGAGCUCUCCAAGCGAGAAGCAGCAGCGAAGCUGCUCGUGAUGUUUUUAAUCAGCCUGGGCAGUAAAAGGAAAUCAGUCAUGUUAAAGGAGAAUCGUAAAACAGCUUUGAAAACCACAGAGCCGUGCAGAAGUGCUCAGCUUUGUUUGUUUAGAGCCCAGCCAUUUUACGGUGCCAUAAACCUCCCGGCACGUAGGCUGCAGAGCGUAAAUCCUGCUCCAGCUCUUUUAUGUGCUGCCUAAUGAUAGGGGCACUGCGUGGACUCAGACGAGUGAUACAGGGAGUCGGGGCACUGUGUCUCUGUGUCCUUGGUAUCUCCCAGCUAGCCUGGCUGGAUUUAUUUUUUGCCAAGCAGACAACUCCGUGCUCCCGGGACGCGACAGAUGCCGCAGCUUCACCCUGCCCUGUGCCGCUCAUUUAGAUGCAACUUGCUGAGCUCCUGGGCUCAUCAAAGUGAUUUUCCACUUUGUCACCAUUCUCCUGGUGAGGUAGCUUCCUCUCCUUGCUCUCAGCUCUGGCCCAAAAAGAGCAUCGUGGCUCCUUAUCUCCCAGAGAGGUUUCCUGCAGGACUGGGGUUUGCUGGGCUGGUGGUGCUGGAGGAGGCAGCGAUGCAGUGGGCUCUGCUGGCACCCUCAUCUCCACUGGGAUCUGGGGUCCUUGAGCUGAGGGGCAUGGAGAGGACUCCCAGAUCUUCUUCAGGCUGCUCUCCAUCUCUCCUGGUUAGGUCCAGCCAGGGUUUGCUGCAGCACCAGCCAGGGCGGGUGACAAAUGGCACGUGAAGGUGUCGCGGGAAAUAUGCACACCCAGUGAUAGGGGCAUAACGAAUGAAACGGUGGUGGAAUUGAUGUGGGGCUGCUGUAAUGAAUGUACGUGUGUUGUGAGGAUUAGGACACGGGGGUGAUGAAUAUUGUCUAUCAGCUGUGAUAAAAAGCCUAUCAUCCCCAAUACAUAUUUUCAAAAACUAAUUUAAGGCUGAACGAGAUUAUUAAAAAUGAGGAGAGGAAAUUGUCUGGGAUAUAUUUAGAGUCCCUUGGUAGGUAGGAAGUGGAACUACAGCCUGUGGGGUGAAAAGGAUGGUUGUGGGCAGUGUGACAGCCUCUGAUAAGGAGACAGGGCUGAGCUGGUCUGGAGGGGAAUGAAUUAAAGCUCAUCUGGGGGUCUUGGUGCUGCAUGCAGGGACCGACCCCACUGGGGCUGAGCAGAAAAUCACACUGCUGCCAGCCACCUGCCUCUGUCCCCAGGCUCAGUGUCCCCGGUGUUUCUUUCUUACUUGGCUCCUUUCCUGAAUCUUUGCCUGUUUUGGGGCUGAGCAGAGAAAACCAGAGAAGCUGCAAACUUUGUUCCCUUAGGUACGGUGACACUUUCUCCCACCAAAAAGUGCUCCAAAUGGAAGCCUUUGGGUACACCUGAACUCCCCUGGGGAGCCUUUAUGCAGCCCCACAUGCAACCGGACUCUGUGUCUUCGUUCUUUCUGAAAAAUCCGAUAUGUAACCGUAACCGGAGAACUGAGAAGAGGGGCAUGCGCCUUUCACCCCAUCAGUAUUAGAAAAUGUGAUGCCAGAUCAGUUGCUGCUUCCGUAUGAUUGUUGCCAAAUAGCCGCUCUGAUCCUCACCCCGACUCAAAAAUCGUUAUGAGAACAGAAAUGGAGAAAACUGUGCGAGACAGCGGCACUGCAGAAUUUAGAAAGAACAUUAGGAGACCCUCUUAGGGUGCAGGGCUUCCUCAAUUUAUAGGGACUGAGCCCUAAAUAGACGCACGAUUACAGGCUCGGCUCAACGAUGCCAUCUUGCGACAGUCAGCCCCAACCAGCAUUACAAGCCUUGCUGAAACUGCCAAAGCAGGAAGGAGCCAGCCUUCUUUUACUAGCAUACAAGGAGUCAAUGAACCUUAUAUGCAAUUUCUAGACAGAUUGAGGGAUUCGUCGGACAAGCAAAUAGAUAAUCAUGAAGCUAAAGAGGCUCUCAUGCUGAAACUGGCCAUUGAAAACGCUAACACAGAUUGUAAGAAGAUUCUGCAAUCCAUGCCUAAUGGGACAACCUUGGUACAAAUGAUAGAGGCCAUGGAGUAAUUAUACAAAACUCUAAUAGCAUCAUUCCUUGUGCCAGGAGCCACUCUGCUUGGCUGUGGGAUCGACUGUGGGGUGGGCGUCCCCUAGGUGCACCCCGAGCUUUUUCCUUGGAGGGGUCCUACUCUCAGCCACUCACCGCGGGAGUAGACCUCCUGAAGCCGUGGACAAAUUAUUUUAAGUGAUAUUUUCCUGUGGUAUGAAAGAGAAGUACAAGAGGCCUCGUUACCUGAUCGUGUGACUGUGCUGUGCAAGUGAGACGCAGCAUCCCUACGAAGCAACAUCCCUGGCGCUUAGUGGCUUGUUGGCUGCUGUAGGUUCUAGUAGGCACCCUACUUUACCAUCGUAAAUCUGCUUGUGAUUUUUCACCCUGUUGCUUAUUGUACCUUGCUUAUCGCAAUGUCUGCUGUGCUUGACAGAAAAAUCUAUAGAAAGCAUUUGGUUGGUUGAAAAUAAAAAAGGGGGAAUUAUGUAAGGAUGUGUACUC
rnacentral:lncRNA from 1 species